rnacentral:rRNA from 1 species
UAACCGGACCACGAGUGGCGUCCGCUUAUACUGGGCUUAAAGCGUCCGUAGCCGGCCGCCUAAGUCUCCUGUGAAAUCCCAGGGAAAACCCUGGGGCGAGCAGGAGAUACUGGGUGGCUAGGGACCGGAAGGAGCCGAGGGUACUCCUGGGGUAGGGGUGAAAUCUUGUGAUCCCUGAGGGACCACCAGUGGCGAAGGCGUCUCACUAGAACGGGUCCGACGGUCAGGGACGAAAGCUGGGGGCACGAACCGG